UGCCGCCCUGAAGGGCGUAUGGUGGAUGCCUUGGCAGACAGUACCGAUGAAGGACGUUUGAGGAUGCGAUAAGCCUCGGGGAGCCUCCAACAUGGCUUCGAUCCGAGGAUUUCCGAAUGGGGCAACCCGCCGGCCGUCAUGGGCCGGCACGGGACCUUUGGGUUCCGGGGGUACGCAGGGAAGUGAAACAUCUCAGUACCUGCAGGAAGGGAUACUCCGUGAGUAGUGGCGAGCGAAAGCGGAUCAGACCAAACCAUGGGCGCGUGAUACCCGUCGGGGGUUGCGUUCGUGGUGUUGAGGGAGCGUGUGUCCCGGUUCCGACGGACCGGGCGGGAGUCAUAAAACGGCUUGCCAGGGGAACAGGCUUGAAGGCCUGGCCGCAGAGGGUGCCAGCCCCGUACCUGGAAGCUUGCCGUCUUCCGAUCAUGUGUCCCAAGUAGCGCGGGCCUCGUGGAAUCCCGUGUGAAUCGGCCCCGACCGUGGGGUAAGUCUAAGCAUACCUGUCUGACCGAUAGCGUACCAGUACCGUGAGGGAAAGGUGAAAAGCACCCCGGGAGGGGAGUGAAAGAGUUCCUGAAACCGUGCGCCUACAAUCCGUCGGAGCCUCCUUGUGGGGUGACGGCGUGCCUAUCGAAAAAUGAGUCUGCGAGUCAGUGGUGCGUGGCGAGGCUAACCCGUGGUGGGGGAGCCGUAGCGAAGGCGAGUCUCAAAAGGCGUUUUGAGUCGCGCGCCCUGGACCCGAAGCGGGAUGAUCUAGCCCUGGGCAGGUUGAAGCGCGGGUAAGACCGCGUGGAGGACCGAACCCACCUGGGUUGAAAACCGGGGGGAUGACCUGGGGCUAGGGGUGAAAGGCCAAUCAAAUUCCGUGAUAGCUGGUUCUCUCCGAAAUGCAUUUAGGUGCAGCGUCGGUUGAUUGCAUCGCGGGGGUAGAGCUACUGGAUGCUUGCGGGCCCGUGUCGGGUACCAAUAGCAGCCAAACUCCGAAUACCGUGGAUGUGUAUUCCGGCAGUGAGUCGGCGGGGGAUAAGCUCCGUCGUCGAGAGGGAGACAGCCCAGAUCGUCGUCUAAGGUCCCGAAGCGUGUGCUAAGUGGGAAAGGAUGUGGAGUCGCAUAGACAGCCAGGAGGUUGGCUCAGAAGCAGCCAUCCUUGAAAGAGUGCGUAACAGCUCACUGGUCUAGUGGUUCCGCGCCGACAAUGUAGCGGGGCUCAAGCACACCACCGAAGACGCGGCAGCGGCCUUUGCGGCCGUUGGGUAGGAGAGCGUCCCGCGUGGGGCGAAGCGGCCGGGGAACCGUGCCGUGGACCGCGCGGGAGUGAGAAUGCAGACAUGAGUAGCGAGAGACGGGUGAGGAUCCCGUCCGCUGGAUGACCAAGGGUUCCGGGGCCACGUUCGUCGUCCCCGGGUGAGUCGGGUCCUAAGGCGAGGCCGACAGGCGUAGUCGAAUGGAUGAACGGGUGGAUAUUCCCGUACCGGCGGCGUACCGUAAGAGCCGAACGGAUGAGUACUAACCUCCGGUCGCGUGGCGUCGUUCCCUUCGGGGUUCGGGGCGCGUGGCUGUUGGGAGCGUAGUCCUGGUAGGCUAGCGCACAGGGGUGACACGGAAUGGGAGCCGGCCGCGGAGGUGGUUUUCCGUGGUCAAGCACGCAGCCCGUCCCAUAGGCAAAUCCGUGGGACGCAUAGGGUGAGGUGUGAUGAUGGGCGUCCUUUGGACGCGAUAUCCGGUGGUCCAGGCCGUCGAGAAAAGCCUCGGCGCGAGGGGCGUCGCCGCCCGUACCCCAAACCGACACUGGUGGUCAGGUAGAGAAUACCAAGGCGAUCGAGCGAAUCCUGGUCAAGGAACUCGGCAAAUCACUCCCGUGCCUUCGGUAUAAGGGAGACCCCCGGGCGUGAAGAGGCUUGCCCUCGGAGCGUUGGGGGGUGGCACAGACCAGGGGGUAGCGACUGUUUACCAAAAACACAGGUGCAUGCGAAGGCGCAAGCCGCUGUAUAUGCACUGACGCCUGCCCGGUGCCGGAAGGUUAAGAGGAUCCGUCAGCCCCUUUUGGGGUGAAGCGGUGAAUUCAAGCCCCGGUAAACGGCGGUGGUAACUAUAACCAUCCUAAGGUAGCGAAAUUCCUUGUCGGGUAAGUUCCGACCUGCACGAAUGGCGUA
rnacentral:rRNA from 1 species